UACGUAGGGUGCAAGCGUUGCUCGGAAUUACUGGGCGUAAAGCGUGCGCAGGCGGUUUUGUAAGUCAGAUGUGAAAUCCCCGGGCUUAACCUGGGAACUGCGUUUGAAACUACAAGGCUAGAGUGUGGCAGAGGGGGGUGGAAUUCCACGUGUAGCAGUGAAAUGCGUAGAGAUGUGGAGGAACACCGAUGGCGAAGGCAGCCCCCUGGGUUAACACUGACGCUCAGGCACGAAAGCGUGGGGAGCAAACAGG
rnacentral:rRNA from 1 species